rnacentral:rRNA from 1 species
AGGGAUCAUUACCGAGUGAGGGCCCCCGGGCCCGACCUCCCACCCCUUGACGAACGUCCGGUUUGCCUCGGGGGCGACCCGGCCCCUUCGGUGCCCGGGUGCCCCCGGUGGGUUACCCACUCUGCGUCUUUGCGUCGGAGUCGAAUGGAAAAUGAAAUGAAAACUUUCAACAACGGAUCUCUUGGUUCUGGCAUCGAUGAAGAACGCAGCGAAAUGCGAUAAGUAAUGUGAAUUGCAGAAUUCAGUGAAUCAUCGAAUCUUUGAACGCACAUUGCGCCCUUUGGCAUUCCGAAGGGCAUGCCCGUUCGAGCGUCAUUUCAACAAUCAAGCCUGGCUUGGUGUUAGGUCACGGGGGCGACCCGGACCUCAAUGUCCCUCUGGCUGGACGACCCCGAUCCCGGCGUUGUGGUACACAAAUUCGCUGGUCGAAAGGGGGAGAAACGUGCUGUGAAUCACCGCGUAUGCGUACGAAAGGUUGACCUCGGAUCGGGUAGGGAUACCCGCUGAACUUAA